rnacentral:tRNA from 1 species
GCGGGUGUGGCGGAAUUGGCAGACGCGCAAGAUUCAGGAUCUUGUGACUGCACAGUCAUGCAGGUUCAAGUCCUGUCACCCGCACCA